rnacentral:rRNA from 1 species
AUCCGGAGGGAGCAAGCGUUGUUCGGAUUUACUGGGCGUAAAGCGCACGUAGGUGGCGCGACAAGUCGGGAGUGAAAUGCUACGGCCCAACCGUAGAGGUGCUUUCGGAACUGUCGUGCUAGAGGAUGAGAGGGGAAGGCGGAAUUCCAGGUGUAGCGGUGAAAUGCACAGAUAUCUGGAGGAACACCGGUGGCGAAGGCGGCCUUCUGGAUCAUACCUGACACUGAGGUGCGAAAGCGUGGGGAGCGAACAGGAUUAGAAACCCUAGUAGUCC